GGCAAGGUGGCGGAGCGGUCUAACGCGCCACGUUUAGGAAAAAUCCUAAAUUCUACCUUGGAAAGAUUCCGUGGUCUCGCAAGAGGCGUGGGUUCGAAUCCCACCCUUGUCA